ensembl:snoRNA
ACUGCCCCUAGAGGCGUUGCAGCGCCUCCACCAUGCCACAGCUCUGUCCUUAGAUGACAGAGAGAAGAGGGGCUAUCUCUAGGUCCAGGGGUCUGGCGUGAACCACCUGACUGACUGCGAGCCCCACAGU